CAUCUAUUUCUAGAUUCACAGUGUUUAUUGUCAUGUACACAGUAGGAAACAUGUUUUCCUGAACAAUGAAACUCUUACUUUACUGUCCACACUGGACGCCACAAAGAUUAAAAACAAACACAUUUGAAGUAAAGAACAAAACUAAACAAGACAAAGAAAAGAUUAAUAACAAUAAUUAUAAUAAUUAAAAAGUAAAAACGUCAUGGACUCUGGGAGCAGCUUUCAGGUUGGACUGGUUUCACAUAUUUAUACUAGGAAGGAAUGAGGGCGUGGAAGAGUUCUCACCUCACACACACACACACACACACACACACACACACACACAGUCACAGAGCAGACACACACACACACACACACGCACACACACACAGUCACAGAGCAGACACACACACACACACACUGAUGAAGAACUGACCAACAUCUGAAACAGGAAGGACAGCAGACCUCCAGGAACAAACUCUGCAGAGAAAAGGUGUGUCUCUGCUAUGGAUCAGGACACGGUGAAGGAACAACAUGAGAUUCAGGCUGAAGAUCAGAGGACCAGGAAGCAGCUCACAUCUGGACCUGGACCUGGACCCAGCUGUGUGUCCUAUAGAAGUGACUGGUCCAUGGGCAAACCCAUUAACUUCAAAGGAGGUCCAUCUACUGACCCACACAGCUUGGAGGGUGUGGAUGGUUCCUCUGGAGCUGAUCCUGACUCCAUCUUUACGCUGCUGGAGGACAACAUCAUCAGCUUUGUUAAGGCUGAACUCAAACACAUGCAGAAGAUUGUGGAUGGAGAUGAUCCAGAGUGCUCAGAGAGUCAGAUGGAGGGUAAAGAUGAGGAGCAGAGGAGGAGCAGGGAGGCCUUUCUGAACAUCACACUGUAUUUCCUGAAGAAGAUGAAGCAGGAGGAGCUGGCUGAGCGUCUGCAGAGCAGUAAGAGCAUGUGAACAUCUUCACUGUGAGGAACAUCACAUGAAGGACACAAAGCUGGCUUUUCUUUUUCAAAGCAUGAUUCAAUCAGUCACAUUUAAUCUGAGGAACCAUCCAGACUGAGAACAUCACACACUUUGAUCUCCAAUAUUCAAACCUGCUCUGACUUCUCCACUCUAACAUUAAGUUUGUCUUCAUUCAGGAACAAAGGCUCCUCGAUACCAACGUGAGCUGAAGUCCAAGCUGAAGAAGAAGUUCCAGUGUGUGUCUGAGGGCGUGGCUAAAGCAGGAAGUCCAACCCUCCUGAAGGAGAUCUUCACAGAGCUCUACAUCACAGAGGGAGGGGGAGGAGAGGUCAACCAGGAACAUGAGGUCAUACAGAUAGAAACAGCAUCCAGGAGAUCAGACACAGCAGAAAGAGCCAUCACACUAGAAGAGCUCUUUAAAGCCCCUCCUGGAAGACCUCGACCAAUCAGGACAGUGAUGACAAAGGGUGUGGCUGGCAUUGGGAAAAACACUCUUAACACACAAGUUCACUGUAGACUGGGCUGAAGACAAAGCCCAGCAGGAGGUCCACUACACAUUCCCACUGACCUUCAGAGAGCUGAACGUGCUGAGGGGGAGGAGCUUCAGCUUGGUGGGACUUGUUGAUCACUUCUUCUCUGGAAGCAAAGAAGCAGGAAUCUGCAGCUUCCAGGAUUUCCUGGUUUUGGUCAUCUUGGAUGGUCUGGAUGAGUGUCGGCUCCCUCUGGACUUCCUCAGCACUCAGACCCUGACUGAUGUCUCAGAGUCCACCUCAGUGGAAGUUCUGCUGAUAAACCUCAUCAGAGGAGAACUGCUUCCAUCAGCCCGCCUCUGGAUAACCACACAGCCUGCAGCAGCCAAUCAGAUCCCUCCUGAGUGUGUGGACAUGGUGACAGAGGUCAGAGGGUUACGGACCCUCAGAAGGACGAGUACUUCAGGAGGAGGUUCACAGAUGAGGAGCAGGUCAGCAGGAUCAUGUCCCACAUCAGGACG
ensembl:lncRNA